rnacentral:misc_RNA from 1 species
GAAAUGCGAUAAGUAGUGUGAAUUGCAGAAUUCAGUGAGUCAUCGAAUCUUUGAACGCACAUUGCGCCCUUUGGUAUUCCAAAGGGCAUGCCUGUUCGAGCGUCAUUUGUACCCUCAAGCUUUGCUUGGUGUUGGGCGUCUUGUCUCUAGCUUUGCUGGAGACUCGCCUUAAAGUAAUUGGCAGCCGGCCUACUGGUUUCGGAGCGCAGCACAAGUCGCACUCUCUAUCAGCAAAGGUCUAGCAUCCAUUAAGCCUUUUUCAACUUUUGACCUCGGAUCAGGUAGGGAUACCCGCUGAACUUAAGC